GACUCGGUAGCUCAGCUGGUAGAGCAUUUGCCUUUUAAGCAAGUGGUCCUGGGUUCGAAUCCCAGCCGGGUCA
rnacentral:tRNA from 3 species